rnacentral:rRNA from 1 species
GAUGAACGCUGACAGAAUGCUUAACACAUGCAAGUCGAUUCAAGUUACCUUCGGGUAAUGAGGAUGGCGGACGGGUGAGUAACGCGUAAGGAACUUGCCUCUUGGUCUGGGACAACUGUUGGAAACGACAGCUAAUACCGGAUAUUAUGAGAUUCUCGCAUGGGAAACUUAUGAAAGCUAUAUGCGCCAAGAGAGAGCCUUGCGUUCCAUUAGCUAGUUGGUGGGGUAAUGGCCCACCAAGGCGACGAUGGAUAGCCGGCCUGAGAGGGUGAACGGCCACAAGGGGACUGAGACACGGCCCUUACUCCUACGGGAGGCAGCAGUGGGGAAUAUUGGACAAUGGGCCACAAGCCUGAUCCAGCAAUUCUGUGUGCACGAUGAAGGUCUUCGGAUUGUAAAGUGCUUUCAGUUGGGAAGAAGAAAGUGACGGUACCAACAGAAGAAGCGACGGCUAAAUACGUGCCAGCAGCCGCGGUAAUACGUAUGUCGCAAGCGUUAUCCGGAUUUAUUGGGCGUAAAGCGCGUCUAGGCGGAAAAAUAAGUCUGAUGUUAAAAUGCGGGGCUCAACUCCGUAUUGCGUUGGAAACUGUUUUUCUAGAGUACUGGAGAGGUGGGCGGAACUACAAGUGUAGAGGUGAAAUUCGUAGAUAUUUGUAGGAAUGCCGAUGGAGAAGUCAGCUCACUGGACAGAUACUGACGCUGAAGCGCGAAAGCGUGGGGAGCAAACAGGANUAGAUACCCUGGUAGUCC